rnacentral:rRNA from 1 species
UACGAAGGGGGCUAGCGUUGCUCGGAAUCACUGGGCGUAAAGGGUGCGUAGGCGGGUCUUUAAGUCAGGGGUGAAAUCCUGGAGCUCAACUCCAGAACUGCCUUUGAUACUGAGGAUCUUGAGUUCGGGAGAGGUGAGUGGAACUGCGAGUGUAGAGGUGAAAUUCGUAGAUAUUAGGAAGAACACCAGUGGCGAAGGCGGCUCACUGGACCACAACUGACGCUGAUGCACGAAAGCUAGGGGAGCAAACAGG